CACGGUCUGUGAGUUCGAGCCCCGAGUCGGGCUCUGUGCUGAUGGCUCAGAGCCUGGAGCCUGCUUCCGAUUCUGUGUCUCCCUCUCUCUCUGCCCCUCCCCGUUCAUGCUCUGUCUCUCUCUGUCUCAAAAAUAAAUAAAAACGUUAAAAAAAAUUUAAAAAAAAAAAAAGAAAAAAGGAAGACCUCACUCUUAGGGUCUUACUUUAAGAGGCUCAGCACCAUGCUUGGGACAUAGUAAGGCCUCAAAACUUCCCAUCAUCAGCAAUCUUAUGAUUAGUGCUACUGGCCAGCAAUGCACAUUAUGAAGACACGGUGUGUCAUAUGAUUACAAAUAUUAUCUUUCUAACCUAAGGACUCUUCAAAUACAGGUAGAAAAGUGAGGUCUCAAAGAAAGGCUACCUCAGUGUCCCAGGCACAGCUACAGGUGCCGGGCCUCCUCCCAGGGCUAGGCUCUCCCAGACCAGAGGAUAGCCACAGACCCCAGGCAGCCCUCAGUGCAAAUGAUCCCUUCCAGUGUCCCAUGCCAUGGGGCUUCCUAGGCAAGCACAGAGAAGAUGGGGAAGCCAGCCACAGAAGGGCCUGGUUAUCAAGGUUGAGAAGACAUGUACAAAGAUCUUUCGGUCUUUUUGUUGUCCCUCUUUAUUCUAGUGCCUGUUACAAGCAUGUGUGGUGUAGUGGUUGUUGGUGGUGGUGUGUUUGUGUCUGGUGUCUGUGUGUAUACAUAUAUAUAUGUAUACAUAAACUGUAUAAAUAUAUAUACAUAUAUCAUUUCUCCCAAUAGAUCGCAGUCCAACCAUGCAAUCCAAAAGGUGGCUCUGCAUAGAUGCCCAGCAUGAAGUUCACCGCCUGAGCCAACCCUGAAGCAAGGCGCACUCUUUUAGUCCUUCUGAUAGGUUUUCUCUCAGUUUUUUUGUUUUUGUUUAAAACCAAGCUACUGCAGCUUCAAGUAUUUUGCAUUACAUAGAAUAUUUUUUAUAAAUUAGUUCAUGUUAUAUUUUCAAUAUUCAGACAUAUACUAUAAUAUAUAUACAGUACAAUAAAUGCUCUCAUUCUUUUUUUAAUUUUUUUUUU
rnacentral:lncRNA from 1 species